UGAGUACUAGUUUGUGUAGAGCACUUGGCACAUUGGUCAUAGGCAUUAGGCCAGCAACUGAAAGGUCACUGGUUCAAACCCAGCUGUGGUAACUUGAUGUUGUGUGUUGUGCACUAUGACAAGGCACUUUAUCUACAUUGUCUCAGUCUACCCAGCUGAAACUGGGUACUGGCUUUACUCUGGGAGCUAACUUGCAAUGGACUUGUGUCCCAUCCAGGGGAGUCAAUGAUUCUCAUCCGCUAAGCACCGUGGAAACCGAUGAUAAGCACCAGCCUUACUUUUGGCCACUACCUCAUGUUGCUUAUGUCCUCAUACUGACUAUCUCGUUGACUGUCCACCAGUCGGUCAGUAAGACUAAGCAACAUCGAGCUAAAUUUCAGUCAGACACUUUUGGCCACUACCUCAUGUUGCUUAUGUCCUCAUACUGACUAUCUCGUGGACUGUCCACCAGUCGGUCAGUAAGACUAAGCAACAUCGAGCUAAAUUUCAGUCAGACACUUUUGGCCACUACCUCAUGUUGCUUAUGUCCUCAUACUGACUAUCUCGUGGACUGUCCACCAGUCUGUCAUUAGACUAAGCAACAUCAAGCUCAAUUCAUUGUGACUCAUUUGGCAUUUCAAAAAAUAAUUAUUUUUAUCCUGUUCUAUUUGACAGUUCCACUUGAUUAUUGUUGAUAAUUCAUAGUUAAUUCAAAUCACUUGAUCAAUAAAUUGUGAAACCU
rnacentral:sRNA from 1 species